GACAGAGGGUGCAAACGUUUGUUCGGAAUUACUGGGCGUAAAGCGCACGUAGGCGGAUUGUUAAGUGAGGGGUGAAAUCCCAGGGCUCAACCCUGGAACUGCCUUUCAUACUGGCAAUCUCGAGUCCGAGAGAGGUGAGUGGAAUUCCGAGUGUAGAGGUGAAAUUCGUAGAUAUUCGGAGGAACACCAGUGGCGAAGGCGGCUCACUGGCUCGGUACUGACGCUGAGGUGCGAAAGCGUGGGGAGCAAACAGG
rnacentral:rRNA from 1 species